rnacentral:rRNA from 1 species
UACAGAGGGUGCAAGCGUUGUCCGGAAUCACUGGGCGUAAAGGGCGCGUAGGCGGCCUGAUAAGUCGGGGGUGAAAUGCUGCGGCUUAACCGCAGCACUGCCUUCGAGACUGUCGGGCUUGAGCACGGUAGAGGCAGAUGGAAUUCCCGGUGUAGCGGUGGAAUGCGUAGAGAUGUGGAGGAACACCGAUGGCGAAGGCAGCCCCCUGGGCUAACACUGACGCUCAGGCACGAAAGCGUGGGGAGCAAACAGG